AACGAACGCUGGCGGCAUGCCUAACACAUGCAAGUCGAACGAGACCUUCGGGUCUAGUGGCGCACGGGUGCGUAACGCGUGGGAACCUGCCCUUAGGUUCGGAAUAACUCCCCGAAAGGGGUGCUAAUACCGGAUAAUGUCUUCGGACCAAAGAUUUAUCGCCUUUGGAUGGGCCCGCGUUGGAUUAGCUAGUUGGUAGGGUAAAAGCCUACCAAGGCGACGAUCCAUAGCUGGUCUGAGAGGAUGAUCAGCCACACUGGGACUGAGACACGGCCCAGACUCCUACGGGAGGCAGCAGUGGGGAAUAUUGGACAAUGGGCGAAGGCCUGAUCCAGCAAUGCCGCGUGAGUGAUGAAGGCCUUAGGGUUGUAAAGCCCUUUUACCCGGGAUGAUAAUGACAGUACCGGGAGAAUAAGCUCCGGCUAACUCCGUG
rnacentral:rRNA from 1 species